GUGAGGAAUUUUGCGCAAUGGGGGCAACCCUGACGCAGCGACGCCGCGUGGAGGACGAAGUCUUUCGGGAUGUAAACUCCUGUCAGUGGGGACGAUAAUGACGGUACCCACAGAGGAAGCACCGGCUAACUCCGUGCCAGCAGCCGCGGUAAGACGGAGGGUGCAAGCGUUGUUCGGAGUUACUGGGCGUAAAGCGUAUGUAGGCGGCAAGUUAAGUUCAAUGUUAAAGCCCACGGCUCAACCGAGGAGAUGCAUUGAAUACUGGCUAGCUAGAGGGUGUUAGAGGAAGACGGAAUUCCCAGUGUAGCGGUGAAAUGCGUAGAUAUUGGGAGGAACAUCGGUAGCGAAAGCGGUCUUCUGGGACAUACCUGACGCUGAGGUACGAAAGCGUGGGGAGCAAACGGGAUUAGAAACCCUUGUAGUCC
rnacentral:rRNA from 1 species